rnacentral:rRNA from 1 species
CGUUCCUACGGGGCGCAGCAGUUAGGAAUAUUCGUCAAUGGGGGAAACCCUGAUGCAGCGACGCCGCGUGAGUGAAGAAGUAUCUCGGUAUGUAAAGCUCUAUCAGCAGGAAAGAUAAUGACGGUACCUGACUAAGAAGCCCCGGCUAACUACGUGCCAGCAGCCGCGGUAAUACGUAGGGGGCAAGCGUUAUCCGGAUUUACUGGGUGUAAAGGGAGCGUAGACGGCAGCGCAAGUCUGGAGUGAAAUGCCGGGGCCCAACCCCGGAACUGCUUUGGAAACUGUGCGGCUCGAGUGCGGGAGAG